rnacentral:rRNA from 1 species
AUUAGCCCAUCGAUGAAUCCUCUGUGUUAGUGUGCACAGUUGGAGUUGUGUCGUAUGGCCGGCGCUGGUUGAUACAGGAGUCGCUCGAAGUCCACUUGACUGUGGCUUCCUGAGAGGGUGAAAGACCCGUGUGAGCGAAUCGUGUAGAGACAGGUGUUGGUCUGGAGUAGGAUUGUCUGAGAUCGCAGUCCGAAGUAGGUGGUAAACCCCAUCUAAGGCUAAAUAUGACCACGAGACCGAUAGCAAACAAGUACCGUGAGGGAAAGUUGCAAAGAACUCUGAAGAGAGAGUUCAAGAGGACGUGAAACCGGUAGGAAGGAAGCGAAUAGAGUCGAUGAAGAUUGGGCUCGAUUCAGCCGUACGUGAAAGGCUUCGUGCUUUAGCUGCGGUUCAUUUCGAACUCAUGGCGCCGAGUUGUAUGCUUGGUCGCAAUGACGUCGCACGUUGGUGCCCACUGAAGUGGUGUCUCUCGUGUGACUGACGUGCGUGCCGGGUAUGCAGAAGCUGUUGAUCUCACGAUCAUCACUCGGUGUGAAAGUCGAUCACCUAUUCGACCCGUCUUGAAACACGGACCAAGAAGUCUAACAUAUGCGCGAGUCAUUGAGUGUUCAAAACUCAUAGGCGUAAUGAAAGUGAAGGCUAGCAUUAGUUGGCUUACAUGUGAUCGGAAGGGUUCGUCCCGACCGCGCAACAUGGCCCCAUUCAGUUCGCUGUGUGGAGGUAGAGCGUAUAUGUUAGGACCCGAAAGAUGGUGAACUAUACAUGAGCAGGAUGAAGCCAGAGGAAACUCUGGUGGAAGUCCGAAGCGGUUCUGACGUGCAAAUCGAUCGUCUGACUUGUGUAUAGGGGCGAAAGACUAAUCGAACUAUCUAGUAGCUGGUUCCCUCUGAAGUUUCCCCCAGGAUAGCUGGAACUCAUUUUAAGCAGUUAUAUUCGGUAAAGCGAAUGAUUAGAGGCCUUAGGGGCGAAAUGUUCUUAACCUAUUCUCAAACUUUCAAUGGGUAUGAUGUCGGUGGUUGUUUAACUCAUAAACCUCGACACUGUGAAUGCGAGCUCCAAGUGGGCCAUUUUUGGUAAGCAGAACUGGCGCUGUGGGAUGAACCAAACGUUGAGUUAAGGUGCCUAACUCUUCGCUCAUGAGACCCCAUGAAAGGUGUUGGUUGAUAUAGACAGCAGGACGGUGGCCAUGGAAGUCGGAAUCCGCUAAGGAGUGUGUAACAACUCACCUGCCGAAUCAACUAGCCCUGAAAAUGGAUGGCGCUUGAGCGAAGGACCUAUACUCGACCGUUGCAUUGCUUGUGUUGUGCGCAGUCUCAGCCUUGCAGCAACGAGUAAGAGGGUCGUAGUGGUUGCGUCGAAGGCUUCGGGCGUAGGCCCGGCUGGAGCAGCCACUAGUGCAGAUCUUGGUGGUAGUAGCAAAUAUUCAAGUGAGAUCCUUGAAGACUGAAGUGGAGAAGGGUUCCACGUGAACAGCAGUUGAUCGUGGGUUAGUCGGUCCUAAGAUAGCGGCUAAUGCCCUAUGUCGAUUGAGAGAUUGAGUCGUUCACGCGGCGCUUUCUUGACUAUCGAAAGGGAAACAGGUUAAUAUUCCUGUACCGAGACACAGAGAUUUUGCUCGAGCGGGCAACCGUUCUUGCAUUGUAGCGCGGCAACGCAAACAAACUCGACUACGUUGCGCACGACCCGAGCUAGAGUUAUCUCCUCUAGUUAAGGAACGUACUCCCAUGGAAUCGGUUCGGCCGGAGAUAUGGGAGUUGGUUUCCGUAAAGCAGCACACGUGUUGUGUUGUCUCGAGCGUUGUGCGUGACCCUUGAAAAGUUGAGUGCGGCUACGAAUUUUGUGCUCGUCCGUACCCAUAUCCGCAGCAGGUCUCCAAGGUGAGCAGCCUCUAGUCGAUAGAAUAAUGUAGGUAAGGGAAGUCGGCAAAUUAGAUCCGUAACUUUGGGAAAAGGAUUGGCUCUACGGAACGGGUUAGUGCGGGUGGUGGUGAGAAGUUGGCGUUGUACUUGUGUUGACUUGGUCGCAAGACUUGGUCGACGCUCGUGCAUGCCAAUGGAUUGCUGUCACUUUAACGCCUAACACUCAACGUUCGUUGUAGAACUGACACGGACCCGGGGAAUCCGACUGUCUAAUUAAAACAGAGGAGAUAGAUGGUGUUCACACACGAUUACUAUCUCUGAUUUCUGCCCAGUGCUCUGAAUGUUAACGUGAAGAGAUUCAACUAAGCGCGGGUAAACGGCGGGAGUAACUAUGACUCUCUUAAGGUAGCCAAAUGCCUCGUCAUCUAAUUAGUGACGCGCACGAAUGGAAUAACGAGAUUCCCACUGUCCCUAUCUACUAUCUAGCGAAACCACAGCCAAGGGAACGGGCUUGGCAAAAACAGCGGGGAAAGAAGACCCUGUUGAGUUUGACUCUAGUUAGGCUCUGUGAAGAGUCAUGAGAGGUGUAGCAUAAGUGGGAGACGGCAACGUCGACAAUGAAAUACCACUACUUUUAUAGAUUCCUUACUUAUUUGGUUAGGCGGGAGCGAGACUGCGUUUCGGCGUAUGCCUCUAGCUUCUAGAGAAAAGUGUGCACUUUUAGUGCGCACGACCCGUGCCAAAGACAGUGUCUGGCGGGGAGUUUGACUGGGGCGGUACAUCUAUCAAACGAUAACGUAGGUGUCCUAAGGCGAGCUCAGUGAGGACAGAAACCUCACGUAGAGCAAAAGGGCAAAAGCUCGCUUGAUCUUGACUUUCAGCACGAGUACAGACCACGAAAGUGUGGCCUAUCGAUCCUUUUGAUUUUUUGAGGGCUUCAAGCAAGAGGUGUCAGAAAAAUUACCACAGGGAUAACUGGC